GGGUUGUGAGGUUAAGCGACUAAGCGUACACGGUGGAUGCCCUGGCAGUCAGAGGCGAUGAAGGACGUGCUAAUCUGCGAAAAGCGCCGGCGAGGUGAUAUGAACCCUUGACCCGGCGAUGUCCGAAUGGGGAAACCCAGUGCAAUCCGUUGCACUAUCGUUAACUGAAUACAUAGGUUAACGAGGCGAACCGGGGGAACUGAAACAUCUAAGUACCCCGAGGAAAAGAAAUCAACCGAGAUUCCCCCAGUAGCGGCGAGCGAACGGGGAGCAGCCCGGAGUCUGAAUCAGCUUGUGUGUUAGUGGAACGGUCUGGAAAGUCCGACGGUACAGGGUGAUAGUCCCGUACACGAAAAUGCACAUGCUGUGAACUCGAAGAGUAGGGCGGGACACGUGGUAUCCUGUCUGAAUAUGGGGGGACCAUCCUCCAAGGCUAAAUACUCCUGACUGACCGAUAGUGAACCAGUACCGUGAGGGAAAGGCGAAAAGAACCCCGGCGAGGGGAGUGAAAAAGAACCUGAAACCGUGUACGUACAAGCAGUGGGAGCCUCUUUAUGGGGUGACUGCGUACCUUUUGUAUAAUGGGUCAGCGACUUAUAUUCUGUAGCAAGGUUAACCGUAUAGGGGAGCCGAAGGGAAACCGAGUCUUAACUGGGCGUUAAGUUGCAGGGUAUAGACCCGAAACCCGGUGAUCUAGCCAUGGGCAGGUUGAAGGUUGGGUAACACUAACUGGAGGACCGAACCGACUAAUGUUGAAAAAUUAGCGGAUGACCUGUGGCUGGGGGUGAAAGGCCAAUCAAACCGGGAGAUAGCUGGUUCUCCCCGAAAGCUAUUUAGGUAGCGCCUCGUGAACUCAUCUUCGGGGGUAGAGCACUGUUUCGGCUAGGGGGCCAUCCCGGCUUACCAACCCGAUGCAAACUACGAAUACCGAAGAAUGUUAUCACGGGAGACACACGGCGGGUGCUAACGUCCGUCGUGAAGAGGGAAACAACCCAGACCGCCAGCUAAGGUCCCAAAGUCAUGGUUAAGUGGGAAACGAUGUGGGAAGGCACAGACAGCCAGGAUGUUGGCUUAGAAGCAGCCAUCAUUUAAAGAAAGCGUAAUAGCUCACUGGUCGAGUCGGCCUGCGCGGAAGAUGUAACGGGGCUAAACCAUGCACCGAAGCUGCGGCAGCGACACUAUGUGUUGUUGGGUAGGGGAGCGUUCUGUAAGCCGUUGAAGGUGUGCUGUGAGGCAUGCUGGAGGUAUCAGAAGUGCGAAUGCUGACAUAAGUAACGAUAAAGCGGGUGAAAAGCCCGCUCGCCGGAAGACCAAGGGUUCCUGUCCAACGUUAAUCGGGGCAGGGUGAGUCGACCCCUAAGGCGAGGCCGAAAGGCGUAGUCGAUGGGAAACAGGUUAAUAUUCCUGUACUUGGUGUUACUGCGAAGGGGGGACGGAGAAGGCUAUGUCAGCCGGGCGACGGUUGUCCCGGUUUAAGCAUGUAGGCGGAGGUUCCAGGUAAAUCCGGUACCUUUUAACGCUGAGGUGUGAUGACGAGGCACUACGGUGCUGAAGUGAUAAAUGCCCUGCUUCCAGGAAAAGCCUCUAAGCAUCAGGUAACACGAAAUCGUACCCCAAACCGACACAGGUGGUCAGGUAGAGAAUACCAAGGCGCUUGAGAGAACUCGGGUGAAGGAACUAGGCAAAAUGGUGCCGUAACUUCGGGAGAAGGCACGCUGAUGUGUAGGUGAAGCCCCUGCGGGCGGAGCUGAAAUCAGUCGAAGAUACCAGCUGGCUGCAACUGUUUAUUAAAAACACAGCACUGUGCAAACACGAAAGUGGACGUAUACGGUGUGACGCCUGCCCGGUGCCGGAAGGUUAAUUGAUGGGGUUAGCGGCAACGCGAAGCUCUUGAUCGAAGCCCCGGUAAACGGCGGCCGUAACUAUAACGGUCCUAAGGUAGCGAAAUUCCUUGUCGGGUAAGUUCCGACCUGCACGAAUGGCGUAAUGAUGGCCAGGCUGUCUCCACCCGAGACUCAGUGAAAUUGAACUCGCUGUGAAGAUGCAGUGUACCCGCGGCAAGACGGAAAGACCCCGUGAACCUUUACUAUAGCUUGACACUGAACACUGGUCCUUGAUGUGUAGGAUAGGUGGGAGGCUUUGAAGCGUGGACGCCAGUCUGCGUGGAGCC
rnacentral:rRNA from 1 species